UGGGGAAUAUUGGACAAUGGGCGAAAGCCUGAUCCAGCCAUGCCGCGUGUGUGAAGAAGGUCUUCGGAUUGUAAAGCACUUUAAGUUGGGAGGAAGGGCAGUAAGCGAAUACCUUGCUGGUUUGACGUUACCGACAGAAUAAGCACCGGCUAACUCUGUGCCAGCAGCCGCGGUAAUACAGAGGGUGCAAGCGUUAAUCGGAAUUACUGGGCGUAAAGCGCGCGUAGGUGGCUCGUUAAGUUGAAUGUGAAAGACCCGGGCUGAACCUAGGAACUGCAUGCAAAACAGGCGAGCUAGAGGGGGGCAGAGGGAGGUGGAAUGUACUGUGUAGCGGUGAAAGGCGUAGGUAUAGAAACGAACGACAGUGGCGAAGGCGACCGCCUGGGCUGAUACUGACACUGAGGUGCGAAAGCGUGGGGAGCAAACAGG
rnacentral:rRNA from 1 species